rnacentral:lncRNA from 1 species
GCACAAAGUGUCAUCUGGUGAUCUAAUGCUGAGUAAAGCAAAACUAGUACCAAAUUAUUACAAUGUUCAAUUAUGCCUUCUCUUCAUGAUGCUCUGGAAGGCGAUGAAAAAGCUAAAUUGAUUUCCACAUUAUAAAGAGGCAGGCAUCUCUAUAUUUUUAUUUAAAAAAAAUCCAAUUUUUUAAAAUUAAUGUUUUUUAAUUCAAUGAAUUUAAAAAAUCCAUUGAUAAUUACAUAAAUAUUGAAGUUUUUGUUAUGGUUUUGAAAACUAAGAGUUCCAGGAAAAAUGGUGAAACUUUUCAAAGGGCUGGUCUUUAGGGAGGUCAUUUUCAUCUAUCCAGGAAGGUCACUGCUAUGGCCUGGAGCCCCCCCGUACAGGAGCCGUCCCUGUGAUGCUGCAUUAGCGAGACAUCACUGCUUCCAUGUAUAAUGAUCAUACGGAGGCCUUUCCAGAUAUAAACCACGAUGUAACAAGGACACGUACUAAGCCAAAAUAAUAUUUUCAGCUAAUGGUGUUUGUGUGGUUGUGAAAUGUUUAUUGAUUAAGAGGGAAUCCCUUGAGCUCGGAAAACAACUGUGGAGGUGAAUAUUUAGUAGAUCCUCGAGGGCAGAGGGAAAGUCAGAGUCUGCAGGAUACCGUAGGACUCCUGACCUUGCAUCUUUUCUCAUCUCAUCUUUUUUUUUUUUUUUUUCCUUUUUUCAGGCCAUGCUCUUGGCAUAUGGAAGUUCCCAGGCUAGGGGUUGAAUCGGGGCUGUAGCCGCCAGCCUACACCACAGCCACAGCAGUGCCUGAUCCGAGCUGCAUCUGUGGCCUACGCCACAGCUCACAGCAACACUGGAUCCUUAACCCACUGAGCGAGGCCAGGAAUUGAACCCACAUCCUCAUGAAUACUAGUCAGGUUCUUAACCCCCUAAGCCACAGGGGAACUCCUCAUCUUUCUUAACUGACAUUUACAAACUGAACCAUUGGAGAAUGACAGGCCUCUUGUAUCCUUGCUAUUGGGGGGAGGCAUAUAUCGAACUGUCUUACAUACAGAGCACUAGGGAUAUGAAAGAAACGGGGAGGCGACAAGUGGCCUGAGCAGGGUCAUGACCUAGUUAUGACACACAAGGGCUGUUGUUACAGGGUGUGGGCUGCACGGUGAGGAAUGGGGGGAGCCGGGGAGAGGGGUGCCCUUUAUCCUGGGCAAGAGCCACUGCAGCCACGCCAAGAGCUGCGGGGAGAAGCAUGGUUGUGCCCGGGGCAUGAGCCAGGCCCAGGGAACAGGGGUGGGGGGUGACCUGGGAGUCGGGAGAGAUGCUUGUCACAAAGCUUGGUUGGGGUUCACCAACAGAGACAGAAGCCCGCGAGGCAGCAAGGGUACCCACCGUGAUCUGAAGAGAGGGCACUGAAGCUGAGAAGAAACAAGCCAUCGACAGCUGAAACAAACAAGCCUUGGCAGAGUCCGAGGGUGCGUGGGGACAUCCACACGCAGCUUGAACGGGAAAAGGCCACCGAGGCUCGGUUUGCUCCAUGUCCUGGUUCCUUGGUAAAGUCAGGUGUGCUGUCGUCCCAGGUUCACAGGGAGGAAACUGGGCGGUGAUUCCAAGCGCCCUUCAGUCACGUCAACAUCGGGAGCUGAGCUGGGACCGGAGCUCCCUGCCCUGGAGCUUUCCGCUACCAGGUGAGGCCAGGUCCUGUGAUCUUCCAGGGCUAAACAUCUCCUUGCAAGAAAAAGCUUUUGUUUCUAAGCGCGUGACGGCUUGAUGGGCAGUGGGCUGCGGAGACGGCGGUGUGGCUUGUGCAGACCUAUCUGGGGAGAACCACAGGACUGGCUUGGGAACUGGUCUGAAUCUGAGGUGACUGGGUUUUUAGAGUCUUUUCUAGAGAUACGAGGUGUGGUGCCUGGCACUGAGACUUGUAUUCAGUAGUACAGAUUCUAUCCUGACCAUUGAGCCUGUGCUGGGCUAAUUAUUUUUGUCUAAAAUGAAGUUAUUCAUCUGCUUUCUAGGCAGUGAAGCAAGAGCUUUUGCAUGUAGGUUUGAACCCUCAGUGGAGAUUUCAGGAAGUCACUACAUGUAAGGCUACUGACAUUGUUUAUGUCAUUUGAAGCUUUCUGAACAUUAGCUUGAUUGAUAGACAAUGAAUCUUGGUCACAUCUUGUUUUUCAACUGGAAGUGCCCUUAUCUGGCAGUUGUAUCUCGAGUUACUGCUAAUUGGUUACAAACAAGAGCCCAGGCACUGCUAUGCCGUAUUCUAGAAUGUUCUGCAAACAAGUGCAGUCUUGGAUUUAUAGUAUCAACGAACACUGAGGUGGAAGAGGCCCCUCUUCUUGCAACUGACCUCUUACUGUGGGGAGUUCGUGUAAAGAAAAUAACCUUGGACUUUAUGAAAGACCCUCUGGGGUCUAAGGUAAAGGACAGAAUGAAGCCAUGACUAAUCAGGAACCACUAGGCAUGUUUCUUAAAAAAUGGUGGGUGGGUCAUCAGAGCACAACAUUCUGAGCUGUUUGCUGGCCGUGGGCAUUCUUGGGCUUCCCUUGAGAACUACUGAGUGAAAUAGUCUUUGGGAGAAAAUUUGGGAGCCUGAAUAUGAAAUAACUCCAGGUGGUCCUGCGCGUGCUGAGUUUGAGAACCCUGCAUUUGAGGCGGGACGCAGACUUCGGCACGGGUCGGCUCCCCAGUACCCCCUCGUCUGGACUCUCCACCAUCCCCACAACUCCUUGAUGAAACACAUUUAACUUUCUCACACUUCCCGAAGAGACAGAUUUUGUAUGUUCAAACUGUUCCUUUCAGUCAAUGAACAUACAUCUGGGUGGAGUUCCCGUCGUGGCUCAGUGGUAACGAAUCCCACUAGGAUCCAUGAGGACGUGGGUUCGAUCCCUGGCCUUGCUCAGUGGGUUAAGGAUCCAGCGUUGCUGUGAGCUGUGGAAGAAAAUACAUCUGGGAGAAUUAGGGGUUCUCACCACGUGCACAUCUAACACCUGACUGAUACCGGGGAAGUUCCACUUAGCAGUUGUGUUUCUCAGACUCGGGUAUUUAACGGAACCCUUUAAAAAAAAAAAAGGUCAACCUCAGAGUUGUGACUUAAGGUUUUCUUUGACAACGUUAUGUAUAGGAGCGGAUAUCAUAUUUGAUGUAAACUAUGAGGAUAAACCUCAUUGAUGCCUGAAGUCAAAGCAAGAUGUGAAAUGAAAUAAAAACAAAACUAUAAAACUGACAAAAAUUCAAAGUGGCACCGUUGACCUGAGACAGAUGGUGUUGUUUGCUGAAACUAAAUUGUACCUGUUAGGUUUACAGCAGAAGGAUGUAGCUUCAAGUCCAGUUCUAUUUUUGAUGAAAUUAAUUGUGGACAGUCUUCGUUUGCUAAAUCAUACUAAUUAGACUUCAUACAUAACCAAACUUUCUCUACCAGCAGUCCACCAGUGCCACUGGCAAUGAGGUUUCCCAGGAAAUCUCAGAAGAUCCCCAGUCUUCUAGAUUAGGAGCUUUUAUUUUCUUUUUUGGGGAUAAAGAACCAGAUAUUAAAUCUUUAGGUUUCGUAAGCUAAGAGGAAAACCGAGGCUAUUAUGUAGAUACUUAUAUAAUAAGAAAAUGUCUUGUCAGACAAAUAGGCACUGCUGAAUACUAAACUAAUCAUGAGCAAAUGAUCUGAUUGAGACUUAAUUGCUUGAGGCACUCGUAGAAUAUGUUUGUAAAAUAUAUGUAAUGUAUAUACAUAUAUUAUUCAAUACAUGUCCUUUCCUUGAUAUUUGCCUUUCAGCGUGUUACAGUGUGGAUUAAUCACUUCGAUUGGAGGUUUAAUGUAAACUCCGAGACGACACAAUUAGAGGGAUUUGGAAAUAUGGGACUUUGCAUGUCCAUCGAGAGCCAAAAAAACUCGGGUGUAACUGUAGGCUGAGCUCAGAAGAUGCAUUCUCUGCACAUCUGUGGGGAAUGGAGAGGUUAUUUCUCAUUUCAGGUUUUGACAGCAUAGGAAAUGAAUAUAGCAACUUGAUAUUACUUGUGAUUCAAACAACCUUAGUCAUUGGAGUUCCCGUUGUGGCUCAGUGGUUAACAAAUCUGACUAACAUCCAUGAGGAUGCAGGUUCAAUUCCUGGACUUGCCCAGUGGGUUAAGGAUCUGGCAUUGCCAUGAGCUGUGGUGUAGGUUACAGACGUGGCUCAGAUCCCGAGUUGCUGUGGCUGUGGUACAGGCUGGCGGCUACUGCUCCAACUCGACCCCUAGCCUGGGAACCUCCAUAUGCCCCCGGUGCAGCCCUCAAAGACAAAACAAACAAACAAAAAACAACUUUAGUUGUUAUCAACAUGACUUCGUUGCAGUAUAAAUUCUGCAUAAACUCAAUUUUGCCUUAUAGUUUUAGGCUCAACUCAUGAAGAAGCAUUUUCAAGUCCGCAACCCGAGCUGAUUUCCAAGGUCAUUCAGAGUUUAUAACAGUGGUUGAGGAAAAGUCCUCAUUCAGAAAAAUUUCAUCUUGACCCCGAAUUGAAAAAAAAAAUCUCAAUAUAAUUUUACCAUUGCUAAACCACUGGACUGCUGUGUGGAAGGGCAAGCAAGGGUUUGCUUCUUUUUGGAACAAAACGUCACACAACUGAAAAUUAUUAACUCUGUGACAGUGGAAGGCCAGUACUGACACUGAGUUUUAAAAGGCGCGGUAGUCAAAUGUUUUCCUCAGAAGUACCUGCCGAUGAAUCACACAAUGAGUGCAAGGAAGUCUUUAUAAACACCUCACAUUCUCAGAAACUUUGUGCAGGCGUUCCUCUGUACCCGCAGGGGACUGGUUCCAGGAUACCUCCCUCCUCCACCUCCA